GGACGCAGUGCAAAGGCUCGACGUGCUCCCGCCUGGCUGUGCUUUGGCGCGGCGGCGCGUCGGUUCGACGCCCGGAUGCACCAUGCGGGGCUGCAUAUCUUCUUCUCCGGGGCUCCUUAUCGACACUGGUUGUCCCGCGGCCUGCCGGCGCCGGCCCGCCGUCUCGCCUGCUCGUCUCUCGUCUCGUCUCCUCUCGUCCGUCUCGUCUGGACGCCGUAACGAGCGUCACGACGCCUCUUCCACCGAGCCGGGGUUCGGCGACGGGAUUCGGUAGCAGAGAUGACCCGAACGUGCGAUUUGGUGAGGUGGGCGUAGCGACAAUGGAGCCCCGAGAUACAAACGAUCAGCAGGUGACGGCGGAAAUGCGGAGGGGGCGGAGAAGUUUUUCGCUGUAGCUACAGCAACUGCGUCAAAUGUUCUCUCCGGAUUGGGAUCCUAACACAUGCUUCGAAUGUGAGCACGGAGAGAAAUGAAGUUGCUUGCUACGUACGAAGAUGACAAAUUAUACUUCACGUAGAGCGGCGGCAUCCCGAUGGAACAAGAAUGAUGCGGCAAGAUAUCUGCUGGACGUGAAGAAUGAAUUACCUAUUCAGUCAUACUGUAAUUUUUUGCCGUUCAUCGUAUAUCGAACCAAAAAUACGUAACUUGAUAACUGUAAAUAGAAAUUUUCUACAAAACAGACUUGUAUUUCAUGUCACAGUAGAA